ACGACAUUUCUCUUCCUCUGAAAAUCGAUUGAACAACAACCUUCAGCUUAUCUCGCAAAUCGACCUCACUCUCGCUCUGGGUUCUCUCUUCCAAAACGCUACCUCUUCCUCCUUCGAUUGUUGCCUAUCACGAAGAACAACAACCUGUGACGAGCAGCCAUGGCUUAAUUUCUCAGUUACUCUCAUUCAAGCUCUCGCGAUUUCUCUUUGUGAACAACAACAACAACGCUCAACCAAUCUCUCUUAGUUUCACGGCAGCCAUGGGUGAACAGGAAGUUAUUUUAAAGAUGAUACACAAGAACAACAAAAGCUAACAACAACAACUAACAACAAAUUUAAGGAUAAAUUUAAGGAUGAGAGUGUAGUCGGACUUACCUACGGCAAGGAGGUCUUUGCCGGAUUUGUUGAGUGGCCAUGGGAUCUUAUCUCGACAAGAAGAACUUACCGUAUAACCCGGUUUCUUUCACAAACAGAGGGAAAUAUGUUCAUGGUAACAACAAUAUUGAGAGUAAGAGUGAAAUUAGCUUACCUACGGCGAGGAGGUUUUCGCCGGAUUAUUGUUGAAGGCUUUUGAUGAAGAUGGCCACCACCUCUUUGGAUGUUAGGGAGACUUGAAGAUGGACUUCAAGUUGGAACUCUCCACCAAGGUAUGAAGAAUUUCUUCUUCACUCUCUUCAAACCAUGGAACUUUGUAACUAGGAAUUCUCACUUCUCAAGUGGUUUUCUUUGGUUUGAAGAAUUGCUUCUUCUUGCCAAGAAACUUGAAAACUAUGAGAGAAAAGAGAGAAGUGAGAAAGCUAGUAGUAUAGUAGCUUUGGUGUGUUUUGCAAUGAAGUGAGGCCUUCUAUUUAUAGGAAAAGUUAAGGAAGUGUUUGGCAUUUGGUAAACUUGAAUGGCAAGUUUCAAUCAUUGCAAGAUAAGAAAAAGAAUAAGAAUAUUCUUUAUGAGAUUUUUCUCUUGCAAGUGGACAUGAAAUAUCUUUGAUUCCUUUUUGAAUUAUUUCUUUUUUUUGAAUUAUUUCCUUUGUUGGAUUUUUGCUAAUCUCACCCCUUUUUGUCUUGAAUUAUUCUUUUGCUAAAUUCACCCCUCUUAUGUUUCUUUUUCAUGUUGCAUGAGGACUUUGAAGAAAGCAUGAAGAAGCUUGAACUUGAAGGAUGAAGACUUUGAAGAUUGAAGAAUUCAAGAAAGCA